rnacentral:lncRNA from 1 species
UUUAGUAUGAUCCGGAUAUGAUUUGGAAAGAUCUGACGUUUCUUUUUGUUGACUUGGUAAGAUCUGACUUUGAAGAUUGGAGAUGGAAAUGGAAUGAAAAUAUACGAAUCGGACGGCAGUCUAAUAUAAUAUUUCAGACAGUCAUGUUUUGUGCUAAUUAUCUAUAACAGUAUUUCACGUGAGUUCCACUUGACAUAUUAUUUUAUUUAUUGUACAUAGUAAAAAUGGAAAGAUCACUUAAAACAUUCCGAGUUCCCCGUCACUUUUUUAUUACGAACGAAUAUUUUAUUACUCAAACUUGAAAUAGUUUGGUUAACUAGACCGGAAUAUAACAACCAAUAUAACAAAGCUCUCUCGCAAUCUUUGCUAAAGAAUCCGAAAUUCCAUUAUGUGUUCUUGGGAUAUGAAAUAUCUCAAAGUCUGAAAACAUAUCUGCAUCGUUCUAAUAACCUCAAAUUCUAUUACAAAACUUGGUCAAGCUUGAAGCUUGAAACUCUUUUAUCAUCGCGAUCAGAUCUUUGCAGUCUGUUCUAAAAUACUGACAUGACGAAUAUUGUAGAAUCUUCUCCAUUGUCCAUCGCAGUGUUUCAUGGCGAUCAGAUCUUUGCAAUUUGUCCCAAAACACCAUGUAGAUAUUAUCCAGAUUUACGAUCAGGAGUUCCUCGUUACUACGCUCUUGUGGAGCGGGAAUGACCACUCAUUUUUAUUAAACUUGACAUUGACGUAUAUUAUAUACUUUCAAUCCUCAAAAUAAAAUAUAUUAUAUACUUUCCAAAUAACAAACCGACCAUCGUAUGAUUCGUAUCA